AGCACUGCUGCCAAUAAAGCUAGUGGAGGUGAUGGGAUUCCAGCAGAGCUAUUUAAAUCCUAAAAGAUGGGAGCGGCACCUGCGCAGCACUGAGCAACUUUAAGAUGUCAUGGCACCCCCAGUACCGGAGCUCCAAGUUCCGCCACAUCUUUGGCAAACCAGCCAGCAAGAACUGCUACAACCCUGUGCCCAUCACCCACAGUGUCCCAGACAAGCAUUUCUGUGCUGUGAACCCCCACUUCAUUGCAGUCGUGACUGAGUGUACCGGUGAGGGUGCGUUCCUCGUCAUCCCCUUGCACCGGAUGGGAAAGCUGGACCCCCACUACCUGAAGGUCUGCGGGCACAGAGGGAAUGUCUUAGAUGUCAGAUGGAACCGUUUCAAUGAUUGCGAGCUUGCCUCCUGCUCUGAAGAUGCCAUGAUUAAAAUCUGGGACAUCCCCAAGUAGCUGCUGACCAAGAACCUCACAGCCUUCAGGAAGGAGCUGGUGGGCCACGCCCGCAGAGUGGGCCUGGUGGAGUGGCGCUGCCAACAUCCUCUUCAGCUCCGGCUACGACUACAGGGUGAUGAUCUGGAACCUGGAUUCAAAGGAGUCUGUAAUCAUGAGCCCCGUGAAGACAAUUAACUGUCACCAAGACGUGAUCCUCUCCAUGUCCUUCAAUACUAAUGGCAGGCUGCUGGCCAGUGCCUGUAAAGACUGCAAGAUUCGGGUUCUGGACUCCCGAGCAGGGGCCAUCCUUCAGGAAGCCAAUAGAAAGGCACCGGGCCAACAAAGCACUGUUUCUGGGGAACCUGCAGAAGCUGCUGCCCACAGGCACAUCCCGAGGGAGCAACCGGCAGAUGGCCCUAGGGGACUAGGAUUGCCUCUCUGUGUCUGUCACAGAGGUGGACCUCGACGGCCCCUCGGGCGUGCUGCUUCCCUUCCACGAUGCAGACACCAACAUGCUCUCCGUGGUGGGGAAGGGAGACAGGAACGUCCACUACUAUGAGAUCAGUGCCAACAAACCGCGCCUGAACUACCCGUUGGAAUACCGCUCCUAUAAUCCACAGCAGGGGGUCGAGGUCAUGCCAAAGAGAGGUCUCGAUGUGUCCUUCUGAGAGAUCUUCCGUUUCUACAAGCUGAUCACAACCAAAAGCCUCAUCGUCCCUGGAUCCAUGAUUGUACCCCAGCAGUCAGGAUCCUACCAAGAGGAUAUCUACCUGCCCACGGCCAGUGCCCAGCCCUCUCUGACAGCCCAGGUGCCAAGCCAUGGAGCCUGCAGCCUCUGCCUUCAAAGAGACCCCUCUCUGUCCCCACGGUUCCCACCUCGUCUCUUCAACCAGGCAGAAAGGCUGGUUGCAGAGGAUGGCCGGAGGCCCUUCUCCCUGCUAGAGGAGAAGGCGCCAAGGUGGGCGGCAGAACACAGACUGGAGAAGAAAACCUGGCUCACAGAUAGCUCUGACAUCUUCGAAUGCCCGCCACCAAAGGCAGAGAACGAGCUGCUGCAGACGUUCUACUGGCUUCAAGACGAGACCCAAAGGCUCUGGAAGCUGGUGACGCAGGACAAGGUCCAGGCUGAACAGCUGGAACUGGAGAUCAGACACUUGUGGAUGAGCUCACAGAGGCUCUGAGCAGAGUCCUUUACCCUCCUCACCCUCAGGGACAGCAAUCGGCUCCAGGGGGAGGUCCAGAACCAAACCACAGGUCCUCUGAGAACACCCACUGUUUCUAUUUUUUUUUUUUUUUUUUUACUAGAAAUGAAACUCUUGGUCACUGAAAGAUUCCAGUGGGAUCUGCUGCUGAUUUUCCAUUUGCCUUCUUGAAACAAUGGUGUCUGAACUGACUCUUUUUAGAUAAUACCUUGCCUUCGGCUGACUUGUUUUGAAUGGUCCAGGAUAAUUUCUCAAGGAAAACAAUACUGUAGAAAGUUAGAGCUGGAAGGACCUAGGAGGUGAAGCUGCCUCUGGUUUUCAAGCUGUGGUUCAUAGCAAGGUGGGGUGGGGAAGGUUAAGCCAGGAGGGUUGUUUUGUAAUAUUGGCUUCUAUGGAAUACAUAAUUCUCCUACUAAAAAUUAGAAGUUUGUGAAGAAGCGGCAUGGUCCAGCUUCUUUAUUUCAUAGAUGGGGAAACUGAGGCCCAGAGACAAGCAAGUAAUCAAGGCCCCCAGAGAGUACGUGGCUGGGCUGGGCUGAGCUCCUGGUCUCCUGGGUCUGUCUGCUGUUUGUGAGGCAGCACGUGUGCGGCUCCCAGCCCACGGGGCAGGAACCCAUCAGUUCUGGGCUCGUCUGUGCCCCUGACUUGCUCUGUGACCUCUCGGAAGUCAUUCACUCUCUGGCCUCACUUUCUCCAUCUGAGCAAGGAGGCCCCUGGAAUGUGCUGUCCUUUAGAGGAUCUGCAACCUGAAAUGAAAAAUCCUUGGCCUUGACCUGAGGAAAGCUACUUUGCAGGGUGAUGAUCUGGGUUUGCUGCAGGAACUCAGAAAGAUAUUCACAAAGGGGCAGAGGAAGUUUAACUUCCAGGAAAUAAGUCAAAGUUCCGCCUAAUUGUGGAACACAGAAACAAGGCCAUCCUCUCUCCCUUCAACUGGAAUCGGCCAAGUAUGUGUGGACACUGUCCCUUAGGUGGGGAUGCAGACAGCAGAGUGGGGCCCGUGACCACUGACUGCCACCACCAAGGCCCUGAGGUCAUAGAGCCUGCCUCCUCCAGGAUGAUGUCGGCAGGUUUCAGCCCAAGGUUACAGGAGAGGUCCCCAGGAGGUGGGGAGCCCCAGCCCUGGAAGUGUGGCACCCACCCAGGAGGGCUUCUGGAGAGGGAUGCCUGUAGUGGGCAAGGAACUGGGACCAGAUGACCCUGACUUCCCUUCCAGACUGACAGUUUCCUGUGUCUCUCUAUUGUGUAUGCUGAGCCCUUUCUCUAAGGCGCUCUCUCCCUCAGUGGUCAGUACAGCAACCCAGCUAGAGACAGGGAAUGCUGGGAGUUAAAUGUGCCCCUCCUUACCAAGGCUGUGCCAGCCGUGAGACUUGCCCAAAGCACAGGGUGAUCCUGGAACUAAGAUGGGAACUGCAGGAGGGCCUCUCGGGCCUGAUGUUUCAACCCAGGCUGUACGUUCGA